rnacentral:rRNA from 1 species
UCAAAAACAUGUCUUUUUGAUUAUUAAUUUAAAGUCUGAUCUGCUCCAUGAAAGUUUUAAAUAGCUGCGGUAUAUUAACCGUACUAAGGUAGCAUAAUCAAUAGUUUUUUAAUUGGAAGCUGGAAUGAACGAUUUGAUGAAAUAAUUUUUGUCUCAUAUUUAAUAAUUUUAUAAUUUUUUUUUCAGUUAAAAUGCUGGGAUUUAUUUAAAAGACGAGAAGACCCUAUAGAUUUUUAUAAUUUAUUUUAAAAUUAGAUUAAGAAAUUAUAUUUUAUAUUAAAUUAUUUAAUUGGGGAAAUUAUUAAAUUAAAAUAAUUUUAAUUUUUAUACACCAAUAAUUAUUGAUUAUUUGAUUAUAAAUUUUAUAAUUAGAGAAUAAAUUACCUUAGGGAUAACAGCGUAAUUUUUUUAGGAAGAUCAUAUUUAUAAUAAAGUUUGCGACCUCGAUGUUGAAUUAAGAUAAAAUUUUAAUGAAAAAGUUAAAAAAUUUUGGUUUGUUCAACCAUUAAAAUCUUACGUGAUCUGA